rnacentral:rRNA from 1 species
GUGCUUACACAUGCAAGUCGAGCGGUAAGGCCCUUUCGGGGGUACACGAGCGGCGAACGGGUGAGUAACACGUGGGUGACCUGCCCUCCACUCUGGGAUAAGCCCGGGAAACUGGGUCUAAUACCGGAUAGGACCACUGAUCGCAUGGUUGGUGGUGGAAAGUUUUUUCGGUGGGGGAUGGGCCCGCGGCCUAUCAGCUUGUUGGUGGGGUGAUGGCCUACCAAGGCGGUGACGGGUAGCCGGCCUGAGAGGGCGACCGGCCACACUGGGACUGAGACACGGCCCAGACUCCUACGGGAGGCAGCAGUGGGGAAUAUUGCGCAAUGGGCGGAAGCCUGACGCAGCGACGCCGCGUGGGGGAUGACGGCCUUCGGGUUGUAAACCUCUUUCGCCAGGGACGAAGAGCAAUUGACGGUACCUGGAGAAGAAGCACCGGCCAACUACGUGCCAGCAGCCGCGGUAACACGUAGGGUGCGAGCGUUGUCCGGAAUUAUUGGGCGUAAAGAGCUCGUAGGCGGUGUGUCGCGUCGGCCGUGAAAACUUGGGGCUUAACUCUGAGCGUGCGGUCGAUACGGGCAUCACUUGAGUUCGGCAGGGGAGACUGGAAUUCCUGGUGUAGCGGUGAAAUGCGCAGAUAUCAGGAGGAACACCGGUGGCGAAGGCGGGUCUCUGGGCCGAUACUGACGCUGAGGAGCGAAAGCGUGGGGAGCGAACAGGAUUAGAUACCCUGGUAGUCCACGCCGUAAACGUUGGGCGCUAGGUGUGGGGACCAUU